GUCUCAGUUCAGAUUGCAGGCUGCAACUCGCCUGCAUGAAGUCGGAAUUGCUAGUAAUCGCAGAUCAGCAUGCUGCGGUGAAUACGUUCCCGGGCCUUGUACACACCGCCCGUCACACCAUGGGAGUCGGUAACACCCGAAGUCGGUAGCCUAACCGUAAGGAGGGCGCCGCCGAAGGUGGGAUUGAUGACUGGGGUGAAGUCGUAACAAGGUAGC
rnacentral:rRNA from 1 species